UACGUAGGGUCCGAGCGUUGUCCGGAAUUACUGGGCGUAAAGAGCUCGUAGGUGGUUUGUCGCGUUGUCCGUGAAAACUCACAACUCAAUUGUGGGCGUGCGGGCGAUACGGGCAGACUGGAGUACUGCAGGGGAGACUGGAAUUCCUGGUGUAGCGGUGAAAUGCGCAGAUAUCGGGAGGAACACCGGUGGCGAAGGCGGUUCUCUGGGCAAUUCCUGACGCUGAGGCGCAAAAGCGUGGGGAGCAAACGGG
rnacentral:rRNA from 1 species